rnacentral:rRNA from 1 species
UGGGGAAUUUUGGACAAUGGGCGAAAGCCUGAUCCAGCAAUGCCGCGUGUGUGAAGAAGGCCUUCGGGUUGUAAAGCACUUUUGUCCGGAAAGAAAUCCUUGGCUCUAAUACAGUCGGGGGAUGACGGUACCGGAAGAAUAAGCACCGGCUAACUGCGUGCCAGCAGCCGCGGUAAUACGUAGGGUGCAAGCGUUAAUCGGAAUUACUGGGCGUAAAGCGUGCGCAGGCGGUUUGCUAAGACCGAUGUGAAAUCCCCGGGCUCAACCUGGGAACUGCAUUGGUGACUGGCAGGCUAGAGUAUGGCAGAGGGGGGUAGAAUUCCACGUGUAGCAGUGAAAUGCGUAGAGAUGUGGAGGAAUACCGAUGGCGAAGGCAGCCUCCUGGGCCAAUACUGACGCUCAUGCACGAAAGCGUGGGGGAGCAAACAGGAUUAGAUACCCCUGGUAGUCCACGCCCUAAAACGAUGUCAACUAGUUGUUGGGGGAUUCAUUUCCUUAGUAACGUAGCUAACGCGUGAAGUUGACCGCCU